UGGCUUCAGCCUUGAACCUCACCUUGAUUGCCACUUCCUUUGGGGAAACUCCUCUGAUGCUUUCCCUGGUGUAGGUAGCUCCCCCGCCUGAUGCCAUCACACCGUGGAACAGCCACAUUUCACUGUUAGGUCCUGGCCUCCCACAUCAGACUCUGAGCUCUACAAGGGCAGGCCUGUGCACCUGUGAUUCCACUUCCACCAUGUAGAUGAGGGCAAAGCCCCAUGACAGUGGUUCUUAAACUUGGCUGCUAUUGGAGUCAAUGUGUAGCCAAGUUUGGGAACUGCUGCUUUAGAAGAUGCCACAGAAACACGAUGGAAGGAACCUGUGACCCUGGAUGACUGUAUGAAGCAGAUCAUCCUGCCAACUGGGAACAUCCACCUUGAACAGUUACGUAAGAUAGGACUUGGACAUAUUUUUUAGAGAGAUACAGCUUAACCCCUGUCAGUGAAUAUUUUAUACAUAAUCCUAUUGCAUGCAGCCUUGAUUCAGGAAUAUUCUAGAGGUGGCACCUGCAAUCAAAGCCUCCUCCUGCUCACUGUCAGUAGUUCAGCUUUCUGUUCUGAGAGCCCAGACUUCCAGGUACUAGUCCUGAAGAAAAUGAAUUCUUCGAAGCUCGCCUGCAGAUUUCUUUUCUUGAGCACUACCCCUUCAUCCCUGCUUCCACAUGUGAGAUCCCCAGGGCUGGGAUAAAGGUGAAGUGAGCAAGUCAUCUAGGACACAACAUUGAAGGGGACAC
rnacentral:lncRNA from 1 species